UCCGAGUUGACCCCGGCAGUCUCCUACGAGUCCCCGGCAUGAUCCGCUGGCAACAUAGGACGAGGGUUGCGCUCGUUGCGGGACUUAACCCAACAUCUCACGACACGAGCUGACGAUAGCCAUGCACCACCUGUAUACCGACAAAAGGGGCCAUAUCUCUAUGGCUUUCCGGCAUAUGUCAAACCCAGGUAAGGUUCUUCGCGUUGCAUCGAAUUAAUCCGCAUGCUCCGCCGCUUGUGCGGGCCCCCGUCAAUUCCUUUGAGUUUCAGCCUUGCGGCCGUACUCCCCAGGCGGGGUGCUUAACGCGUUAGCUGCGACGCUGAAAGGGUCGCUCCCCCCAGUAUCUAGCACCCAUCGUUUACGGCGUGGACUAC
rnacentral:misc_RNA from 1 species